CUCUCUUUCUCCAGAUAGCAGAUAACCAGAUGAUUGCUUCUUCUUCUCGGCUAGUUACCGGAUCUACUGGCUCUCUCCAAUGACUUUGAAGAACAAAAACAAUCCAAGGAUGUGACCUUCUGCAGGAGAACCAUCAUACCCUCCAAGCCAUGGAUAUCAUCCCUCAGAAUAACUGGAGGUUUAAUUCACAUACUGCCAAGUUAGCACACAUUCUUUUGGUUCAGGAAUGACAUAAAAAUGAUCAAAGCUUGGAUAAAAUGAAAGUGGAAACUAAGGAUACCUGCAUGAAACAUCAAUUUAUACUCAAUAUACUGGACAAAAAAAUGUAUUGCUUGAAAAGCGACAGUGAUUUUAAGAGCAAUGUCUGUUAUCUAUGCACUGGCUCGGUUCUUUCAGAUGAAAGUAUUCUGUUUGUGGGCUGAGGUUGAGAGAAGUUGAGAAAAUCUAUGCUUGAUAGCUUGAAAGAAGAAUCAACCAAAACAAAAAAAAUAUCAUGUUUCCGUAGCAAUGCGUUCACCUGAGAAACCUGCCACAUUUUGUUGCAUUAGAACAGUAGGAGUGUAUAGCUGAACUCACGAAUCAUUAGCUUCCAAAAGAAAGGAGUCAGUGUUGGUUGCCGUGCAACCUAGGUCUAUAUCAUAAUAAAGGCAAGGAGACGAACAAUAUAACUUGACUGGGGGAAGGUCACGAAUCCACCGAGAGCGGCCCCACCCCUCCCCGUGUCAUUGAUGGCCAUCCGGCAUACAGGUUGUAACAUCUCCUGGGUGUUCAACAAUGGGGCAGGGAUUUCCAGUACCUGGUUGACUGGGAGGGUUACUGCCUGGGGGAGAGGUGCUGGGUUCCCACUAGAGACAUCCUGGAUCCAGCCCUCAUCGCCGACUUCCACCCCCGUGAUUUGUUUCACCUGUCUUGUGAUUGUCUCCACCCCCUCCAGGUGUCGCUUAUUAUCCCUGUGUUUCCUGUCUCUCUGUGCCAAUUCGUCUUGUGUAUUUUUCAAGUCAACCAUAGUUUUUCCCGUACUCCUGUUUUUUGACCCUUGCCUGUUUUCUGGACUCUGUACCCGACCAUUCUGACCAUUCUGCCUGCCCUGACCUCGAGCCUGCCUGCCACUCUGUACCUCCUGGACUCUGACCUGGUUUUGACCUUUUGCCUGUCCACGACCAUUCUCUUGCCUACCCC
ensembl:lncRNA